UAAUUCUUAAGUUGGCAGUCCCACGUAUACUUAGAAAAGAGAGAAAGCAUGUGAACCCGUGUAUCAAGGAAAACCCUAAUGAGAGGAUGAAUCAGGCCUAUAUAAUCUCUCAUAUACAUUAAAAAAAAUCCCAACUCUAAUUAGAAGCGUUGUUUUUAACAAAAAAAUGGAGAUAGUUAGAAAAGAAGAAGAUGGAGAUGAUGAGGAAGAAGAGCUUAAAACAAUUCUCUUUUAUCAAUUUGAGUAUAUACCAAAUCAAACUCCAAAGGUUUUGGAGCUAAAGACAAUGGAGAGCAAAUGGACAUCCAUCAUUUUGCACCGCGCUUCAGGUUGACUUGGAUCAAGCGUAGUACCAGAAUGAGGCUUGGGAUGGCAAGGUGGAAGUGGAGUGGCAUAUUCAAUGCGAUUGUGCCUCUCAGUAGCGUAAUUGAUAUGAUGCCUUCUUCGUAGGUUCUAAUGUGGGAGACAUUAUUUCUUUGCAAGAAAUUGACCAGGCAUCGAUCAUUUUCAUCUAUCCAUUCAUCCAUCUGGUUGGUUUGUUGCCCUUGUUGUUCGAGUAAUUUGGUCGGCAUUUUCUUGCACAUCCUUGAAUUGCUCUUCUAGAACCCCAACUUCUAGUUCAUCAGAAGUGGAAAUCUCUCAUUGUUCUCCUUGUUCACUGAGCAUCCUCUGAAACCUUGGCGAGCUGGCAAGCUUAACAUAUUCAAUCCCCAUUUCAAGGAAGAAUUCGGCAACUUCCUUGGAAACUGUUGCAUGUGAGUUUCCAGCACCUCCAGUUACCAGCAAACCUCCUGUUUAUGGAUUAACUGCAGCUGCAGUUUUCAUUACUAGCAACUCGCUCAGGAUGUCUAGUUCUUGAGCAAGACUGUUGCCUUCGGCUUCAACAAUUUGCUUCCUGAAUAGUUUCCCUUACAUUAAGUGGAGCUCCAUUAAAAGAAGAUGCAUCCAAAGUCACUACUUACUAGUCACCUUGUUGCAAUAUAUAUAUAUGCUUUACACUUCCGGUUUCGGUAAUCCAAAGCCACGUCAUAAUCAUGGAUAAUCAUAGAGAUCAUGCCACUGCUAGAUGCUGCCAGUUUCAUUUACAGAGAUUAAACUUACAAAAUAAAGAAGAUAAAUUAGUAAGUACUAUAUAUUAUCUAUCAGGAUAGAAUGAAUGAUAAAAUUACUCAGAUUAUUUUAGAUACUUUGUAAUAGCUUUAUGUAGGUAAUGGCAAGGAUGCAAGAAAAUAUGAGUGGUCAAUAUUAACUUUGUAUUGAAUUCUUGUAACAAUAGAAUAUACACUUGAAUGAUUUUCUGACUAAUCUAUCAGAAAUUAUCUUGUA